rnacentral:rRNA from 1 species
CGUAGGGGGCAAGCGUUGUCCGGAAUCAUUGGGCGUAAAGCGCGUGUAGGCGGUCCGGUAAGUCGGCUGUGAAAGUCCAGGGCUCAACCCUGGGAUGCCGGUCGAUACUGCCGGACUAGAGUUCGGAAGAGGCGAGUGGAAUUCCCGGUGUAGCGGUGAAAUGCGCAGAUAUCGGGAGGAACACCAAUGGCGAAGGCAGCUCGCUGGGACGUUACUGACGCUGAGACGCGAAAGCGUGGGGAGCAAACAGGAUUAGAUACCCUGGUAGUCCACGCCGUAAACGAUGGGCACUAGGUGUGGGAGGUGUCGACUCCUCCCGUGCCGGAGCUAACGCAUUAAGUGCCCCGCCUGGGGAGUACGGCCGCAAGGCUA